AACCCGGCUACAUGAAGCUGGAAUCGCUAGUAAUCGCAGAUCAGAAUGCUGCGGUGAAUACGUUCCCGGGUCUUGUACACACCGCCCGUCACACAUGGGAGCCGGGAAUGCCCGAAGUCGGUGACCCAACCGUAAGGAGGGAGCCGCCGAAGGCAGGCCUGGUAACUGGGGUGAAGUCGUAACAAGGUAGC
rnacentral:rRNA from 1 species